rnacentral:rRNA from 1 species
CACGUAGGGCGCAAGCGUUGUCCGGAAUUAUUGGGCGUAAAGAGCUCGUAGGCGGUCUGUUGCGUCCGCUGUGAAAACUCGGGGCUUAACCCCGAGCCUGCAGUGGAUACGGGCAGACUAGAGGUAGGUAGGGGAGAAUGGAAUUCCCGGUGUAGCGGUGAAAUGCGCAGAUAUCGGGAGGAACACCAGAGGCGAAAGCGGCGACCUGGACAGGCACUGACACUCAACUACGAAAGCGUGGGGAGCAAACAGG